UUCGUGGACGAAAUUGAACGAAAAAAAAGUCAACAUGAAACUUUCGAUUUCUGCUUUUUUAUUGUUGCACUCAAAAAAAAAACUAGUAGAUUUGACUACUUUUUAACUACCCUGAGUGAUUCAAUAGGUCCUCAACUGAAUUUAAAAAUUUAUAUUUACUACCGAAAGUAGUAAAAAGAACUAAGAAUUUAGUUGAUGUAAUUAGAUUUUGUAGUUGUUUUUGCAAUUUAACUACUUUUUUUAGUUAUAUAAACUAUUAUUCUUCAACUAUAUUCAAAGUAGUAAAAUCAACUACACAAAAAUUUGUGUUAUCUGUGUUAAUCAAUAAUUGUCAAUCAUCACCUAAUGGUCAUAAUUACAGACAAUACGAAAGUAGAUUAGAAGCCGAAGGGGAGUGUAUUUAUCCAAUAUUCAAAACACAUAAAAGUUUAUUUUCUGGAACUGAAAGGAGAGAUACAGUUUAUAUUUGUAAAGGGAAUCCGAAAAAUUAUCAUAAGAAAAAUGAUAUUGCAAGGAGAGAUUGUGUCUCUAAAUUUGAUAAUGAUGAUGAUGAUUAUUAUUACUAUUGCACAUAUGAGCAAGUAAAUUUUCCUCUUAGAUCUCGCUCUUUCUCUUUUGAAAGAAAGAAAGAAAGAAAAACUCUAAAAAAAUGAAAUAAAUAAAAUAUUACUGUAUAUUGUGUACAAUGAUAUUUUAAAAUAAAUUUUUGAGAAACUGCAGACUUCGCAUUCGAUAAUUAAUUUUUUCUACCACACGCACCGAAAGUACACCAUUUCCUACGUGUUUAGCGGGAGAAAAGUGUAUGAUUCCCUGCGAGCGGGAGGGAAUGUACAUUCCCUCCCGGCUAGUGACGUCACCGGGAGGGAAUGUAACAUUCCCUCCCUGUGAGGGAGGAAAAGUAACUUGCUUUCUCGGUAAUAUUAUCAAAGUAUGACCAUUGAUGAAUCAGUUACGUGAGUUACGUCAGCUAAGUGACUUACGUAACUUACGCGAGUUACGCAAAUGGUGUAGUUACGUAACUUACGUAAAUGGUGUAGUUAUGUUAGUCUUUCGAGUUACAAAUAAUAAAUGAUUUACGUAAGUUACGUAACUUACGUUACUUACGUUACUUACACUACUUGCGUAAACCUACGCUCUUUGGGUUAGUUUAGUUAUUUUAAGCUUUUCACAAACUUUCAGUUACCACAGUUGUAACUAUACCGCCCCCAGCUACAACUAUACAUUCAAAAGUAACAAUCAAACUGCCGCGUUUGUACUUUCGGUAUACGUGUGUUAGAAAAAAUAGUAUGUGCAACUCGGGAGGAAAAUUGAUUUCCACUCGUGUUUUACAGUUCUCGGCUUCGCUCGCAAGCACUCGCCUUCGGCUCGUUUGCUCGCUACGCCUCGAACUGCAAACUACACUCGUCGGAAAUCAUCCAUUUCCCUCCCUUGAUGCACAAUCUACUAUUAAAAAAGUAGCAAAAAGUCGUUUUAUAAAAAUAAACUAUUAACUCGUUUUAUAGACACUUUACACUGAGAGAAAUGGAUAGUCAGAUUUUGAUGUUAAAAAGAUGAUGUUACACGAUACUAUCAUUAUGCUACUGCCAACCAUCACAGAUGCUAAAAAAAAUAUAGUUAUGCUACCCCUUAC